UGUAGAGGAAUACGGAUGGCAGAAAUAGAAAAUUACGGUCAUUAUAAUUUAGCGGUCAUUAUAAUUUAGAGGAGAUGUAAAGCAAUAUGGUGUCUUAAAGAUAGAACUGGAGCUUAAAACUUCAACCUGGUAGGGACUGUCUUUGCUUAUCAUCUGCUGCCAUGAUGAAGUUGGAGUAUUUUACAGGUACCAUGUACGAUCUUGCAAAAAGCUGUGCCUUCAGGUGAUAUAUAGCCAAAUCUGAACUACAGACUACAAAUUCCUGGAGACAAAGGCAUGUUCUGAGUGAUAACAAAACUGUGGACACUGGAGCAAACUUAUCUUUUUUCGCCACUAAAGUGCAAGUUCUUUACACAUUACUUCCCUUCUGUACAAGGACAAAUGCCUUCUCUGUCUAGUGAGUUACAAGUCUUUUCUGUAUCUAAAGGAAGGAAAAGUAAGAAUAAGCCACAGUUCCCACCUGAUAUCCCUCUUACUUGCAGAUCAGAUUUUAUUUUAUCUUUCCUCAUUACAUCUUAGCAAAACCAUUUUUUUCCCCGUGAGUUUUGUCCAGCAUCCCUUUGGUUACUGCCAAAGCAAAACCAAAAGCAAAAGCUCUUUGUUUUAUUGGCAAGUUGGCAGUCCAAGCAAAAUGGUCAUGCCUGAG
ensembl:lncRNA